rnacentral:rRNA from 1 species
CGCGUAGGCGGCAUGACAAGUCACUUGUGAAAUCUCCGGGCUUAACUCGGAGCGGCCAAGUGAUACUGUCGCGCUAGAGUGCGGAAGGGGCAAUCAGAAUUCUUGGUGUAGCGGUGAAAUGCGUAGAUAUCAAGAGGAAUACCUGAGGUGAAGACGGGUUGCUAGGCCGACACUGACGCUGAGUGCGCGAAAGCCAGGGGAGCAAACG